AAAAAUUAACUUCAUCCGAUCCCUAGUCGGCAUAGUUUAUGGUUAAGACUACGACGGUAUCUGAUCGUCUUCGAUCCCCUAACUUUCGUUCUUGAUUAAUGAAAACAUCCUUGGCAAAUGCUUUCGCAGUAGUUAGUCUUCAAUAAAUCCAAGAAUUUCACCUCUGACAAUUGAAUACUAAUGCCCCCAACUAUCCCUAUUAAUCAUUACGUCGAUCCUAGAAACCAACAAAAUAGAAUCGAUCGUCCUAUUUCGUUAUUCCAUGCUAAUGUAUUCAAGCGUAAGCCUGCUUUAAGCACUCUAAUUUUUUCAAAGUAACAGUCCUGUUUCCCCGCAACACCAAAUUAAUGGCAUCACGGUUCUUCAAGAGGGAGGGACCAGUGAGACCAGUGCAUACCAGUGGCACGACCGACCUACUGGCCCCGAAAUUCAACUACGAGCUUUUUAACUGCAACAACUUUAAUAUACGCU
rnacentral:rRNA from 1 species